AGGAGAAGAGUGUGAGAUUAGCCAAGGUGGUCGGCCUGAAAACUCAUGCUUUGGGGUCUCAGUCUGGCCUAGACAUAAAAACCCUUGUGCAUACAUGAGAGCAGGCAAGUCAUCCUUGGCUACCAAACACUACUAGCUCACUCUUCUCU
rfam:Daucus carota subsp. sativus cultivar DH1 chromosome 5, whole genome shotgun sequence.